UUAGCUGCUCUCACUGUGAUAACAUCUCAUCUGUUGUCUCUCCAGUCUCCUAUGCAGAGGAUUCAGUGAUGAAACUGCAGUAUUACAUGGGGACAGUGAGGGGAGAAAUGAUUCUGGAUCAGAACGAGAGGGAGCUUCCCCUGGGGGGUCUCAGUUGGAUUACGAUAACGUGAAGGAGCCUGCAUUGAAUGAUGACCCCCAGACUACAGAUGACCAAGAGAGCCAUGCCUUGCCUGGAGAUGUCCCUGGGGAUAGUUAUGAUGAUGUCAGAGAAGUUUCUGACCCUGAAGAUGAUCCUGGUUCGGGGCAGUGUGCCCAGGAAGUUACUUGGGCCCCUCAGGAGAGCGACAGGAAUAGGGAUUCACAGAGAGGUGAGUGGGGAAAAGCCCAGUUGCAAUUCUUGCAGUUUGAUUGCUAGUCUAAUUAUGGCUUGGUCUACACUACAGACUUAGGUCAAUGUAAGACAGCUUACAUUGACCUAAUUCUGACACUGUGCACACUACAACAUUGCUCCUGCUGAUGUAAGUGCUCUACUACACCAACAUCCUAACUCCACCUCCACGAGAGGCAUGGGGCUUAUGUCAGUGUAGUUAGGGUAACACAAUGUCUGUGUAGACACUGCCUUACUUACAUCAGCAGUUGGCUGUCAUUCUUGUCAAUUUCAUGGCUGCAUGCUAGAGCCAUGAAAUUGACCAAAUAGAAGGUUGGGAGUGAGGGGCUCCAGCUAGAGUCUGGUUGACCCCAGGCUUCCUACUCCCAGCCAGGCUACGCUCGCCCUGUUCCCCACUCAGAGCUGGGCAGUGCCUGCAAGGCUCCCCAACUCCCUACUCCCAGCCGGGCUGCACCUGCCUGGCUCCCCACUCCCAGCUGGGUUGCUUCCUUGGCUCCCAAAAGCCGCCCAGACUACAGGCACAGAGCUCCACGCCAGGAGCCCAGGGGGCCAGCCACACUCCUGGCAGCAGAAAGCAGGGAUCUGGCUCCCAGCAGAGGGAAAUCAAGAGAUCAGGGGUAGCCAGGCUCCUCACGGGGAGCUGCAUGGCUCUCAGCCUCCCACACUGCCCCACUUAGGACAGUGGAAGAGCCCUUGGUGAGGACCCACACAACGGGCACAGGGAGGGCAGUGUGUAAUGAACCAUUGCAGGAAUUGCUGUGGUGGUGUAAGUGACCUAACACAGGCCAGUUUAAGUUUCUAGUGUAGACUUUCCCGAUAUUUGGUAAAAGACACAGCUCCUAGACUUAGAUGGUUACAUGAAAAUCUCAGCUUUCAGUUUAAGAAAGGAAGUUUUCCAGCCCUCAUGGUUGCAGAAAGAAGCCUCAAAUCAUGAACCAAGUUUAACCUAAAGGCUUAGGAACCAGAAUCAU
rnacentral:lncRNA from 1 species